rnacentral:rRNA from 1 species
CGGCGAAACUGCGAAUGGCUCAUUAAAUCAGUUAUCGUAUAUUUGAUAGUACCUACUACAUGGAUAACCGUGGUAAUUCUAGAGCUAAUACAUGCUUAAAAUCCCGACUUCGGAAGGGAUGUAUUUAUUAGAUUAAAAACCAAUGCCCUUCGGGGCUCACUGGUGAUUCAUAAUAACUUCUCGAAUCGCAUGGCCUUGCGCCGGCGAUGGUUCAUUCAAAUUUCUGCCCUAUCAACUUUCGACGGCUGGGUCUUGGCCAGCCGUGGUUACAACGGGUAACGGAGGGUUAGGGCUUGACCCCGGAGAAGGAGCCUGAGAAACGGCUACUACAUCCAAGGAAGGCAGCAGGCGCGCAAAUUACCCAAUCCCGACUCGGGGAGGUAGUGACAAUAAAUACUGAUACAGGGCUCUUUUGGGUCUUGUAAUUGGAAUGAGUACAAUUUAAAUCCCUUAACGAGGAACAAUUGGAGGGCAAGUCUGGUGCCAGCAGCCGCGGUAAUUCCAGCUCCAAUAGCGUAUAUUAAAGUUGUUGCAGUUAAAAAGCUCGUAGUUGAACCUUGGGCCUGGCUGGCCGGUCUGCCUCACCGCAUGCACUGGUCCGGCCGGGCCUUUCCCUCUGGGGAGCCGCAUGCCCUUCACUGGGUGUGUCGGGGAACCAGGACUUUUACUGUGAAAAAAUUAGAGUGUUCAAAGCAGGCAUAUGCUCGAAUACAUUAGCAUGGAAUAAUAGAAUAGGACGUCGCGGUUCUAUUUUGUUGGUUUCUAGGACCGCCGUAAUGAUUAAUAGGGACAGUCGGGGGCAUCAGUAUUCAAUCGUCAGAGGUGAAAUUCUUGGAUCGAUUGAAGACUAACUACUGCGAAAGCAUUUGCCAAGGAUGUUUUCAUUAAUCAGGAACGAAAGUUAGGGGAUCGAAAACGAUCAGAUACCGUUGUAGUCUUAACCAUAAACUAUGCCGACUAGGGAUCGGGCGGUGUUAUUUCUUGACCCGCUCGGCACCUUACACGAAAGUAAAGUUUUUG